AAAAAAGAAGAAGAAGAGAUUAAGACAUACAGUGACAUACACAAAGGCUGCAUGGGCACAGAAAAAAAGACCAUGUGUGGACACAGCAUUUCCUUCUCACAGAUGGCACACAGAGAAGGUGGAUGUCUGCAAGCCAAGGAGAAAUGCCUUAGGAGAAACCAAACAUGCUGACACUUUGAUUUUGGAUCUUCUAGCCUUUAAAACUGUGAGAAAAUAAAUGAGUUACGUAAGCCACCCAGGCUAUGAUACUUUGUUAUAUCAGUCUUAGCAAACAAAUAGAUUAUCGUUAUUGAAAGAUUGGAUUGAACACCAUAAGAUUCAAUUUAAAGAGCCUCUGGGAAGCAGGAUAUGACAGUAGGGAAGAGAGAUUUUUGUCUUGUUGUUUUUUUAAGUGAAAUCUUUGUAGAACUCAUCAAUUCCUUAAAUUUGGUAAAAGUACAGACCAAAAAAAUGAAGGGCAGUGUCUGAAAAAAUCAGAGUUACCUCCUGCCUUUUUUCAUCUGAGUGAUUAACAACUCUCUGGAGUUCUCUUUCAAGCACUGUGGACAUCUGGGGUUCUAUCAAAGAUGCCAUCAAAGGGGGAUUAAUGGCACUUUGGGCACUCUUUAUGAAUGCCGGCUAAAUUUAGUCCAGCCUCAGUACUGUCCAAAUAGCUGAUUAGGACUCAUUGCUCCUGGGUAGGAACCUGAUUUCACCAAUAACUCUUUUGUAGUUGAGCCCCUUCAAAGUGAAUUGUUGUGAAGUGAUACUACAUAGUUCUUACAGCACUUGGUAAGAGACGUUAUAUAUUUGUUACGGGAAUAAUAUUUUUAUAUUGUAUUUCCAUAUAGUUUCCUUUAUCUGGCCUCUGUUUUGUCUCCCUGUGGCCCUUCUGAUAUGGAAGAUAUAAUCAAUUAGUAAUAGAAAGCCAACUAGAAAUGUUUAACCAUGAAGAAAUAUUCUCACACAUAAAAAGAAACCUUGAGAUGGUUGAUUAGUGGGUAGGGUGUCUAGUUCAAUGGCUCAAUGACAUUAUUAAGGACCAGAGUUUCCUAUCCUUAUUCUGAGCUGCAAUUUGUAUUAUGUUGACUACUCUCUCCUUAGGUACAAGAUAACUGACUUCACCAGUUCCAGAUCUCAUGCCUCAGAAACAUCCAAAGGCUGUAUAGGAAAAGACAUCCAUAUUCAUAUCCCUCUUUAAGAAAGGAACCCUUUCCCAGAAACCCCCAGCACAAUUCUCAUUACAUCACAGUGACCAUAUUGCAUAGCAUGUCAUUCCUAAACUAAGUAAGCCAGAGUAAUGGAAUUACCAGGGUUCCCUUAAUCCAAAUAAUACUCAAGAUGGAGAGAAGCUCAGGUUCCUCUGAAACACACCUCUGACCCAUACUUGAAAAAAGUCAGGAUUAUUUUACCAAGGAAGAAGAGAGGAGAAGGAAGAUGAAGGGGAAAGAAGAUGACUGAAGGAAGGUGAAAAACAAUCCUGACAAGGACUUUGAACUUUGCAUUAACUGAAUAUUCACAGCUCAAGAUGAAGAUAGACAGAAUUACAUUUAAGUGGCAAGUUGCUCUUGUCCAAAGGAAUAUGGCUCCAGAAUAGGAGGUCAGUUAUGAAGAAGAAUUAUUAUUUAUCCUCAGCUCAAAUGAUAUGAAUUUUGGCUUUGCUCUAUUUUUUUUUUUUUUUUUUUGGAUUGUCUUCCUUUUUUUCACCUUUUGGUGAAAAAUUGUCGGGAAAGUGGAAUAUGAAAUAAAAAAUGUGAAGAUCCUCUUGA